rnacentral:lncRNA from 1 species
GUUUACUCUCACCCAGUGAGUUCCCAGAGAGUUAUAUGGGGACUUGGUCAGCUGUGCUGUGAGGUCAUAAUCUCAGUAUGUCCCACAUGGAAUGUCGCUGGUCAUUGUCCCUGAGCAAGAAGCACCCCUUGGGAGCAGAGAGUAAGCACUUAAUUGAAGGCUUUCAGUGAAGUGGUGGCUGAGGGUGAGUCUAGGGGGCAGCUGGCACCAGGCCGCCUGCCAUCACACUCUUGCUGGCCUCCGCCAGGGUCCCAGCUUUCUCUGAAGACAGCCCGUGGUGGCAGGAAACAGCCAGAAGCCAGAGGCAGUGCCUGAGGGCUUCUGAUGACAGUAGUUUAGCCAAGAACCAGACCCACAAAUGUGGGCAAGUUGGUCUGUUCUUGGGGCUAGGGGAGCAGAGUGCACCAGUAUGCUAAGGAUAGUCCCCUGUAGGGGCAAAGUAAGCCCCAACCAAGAUUCAGGGAAACAAAUCUGGCAGGAAGGAAGCUUUAGUCACUGGAAUGCCAGAAGGCUUUCUUUCUAGUCCACAUCAGCAGAAGACACUUUCUAGGAGGUUCUGAGUGACCAGAAGGACAAUGAGCCUGGAACCUGGACUCUGUGAGCCAUACAGGGUAGAGGAAGGAGAAGAUGAGGGUAUCCUGUGGAUGGGGAGGCAUAAAGAAGCUUCUGGGUCUAGGAAGAUGUGGAAGGGGCAAAGUCCUGAACUGACAGUGCUUACAGGCCAGCAAGAAGCUGAAGCAAGUACACAGGUAACUCUAGGGCAGGACAGAGGUGAUCACUGCCUUCAGAGAAGUGCAAAGAGCUCCCUGACUCCAAAGGAGGCCCUGCUCCCAGAGAUCAGGAUUUCUGAAACCCUAUCUGCCUAACUUGGAACCUCUUUUGUCCUCCGUGAACAUGACCCUUGCCUGCUGAUCCUGGCCUGUCCUGUGCUUAGGAACUAAAGUGUAGAGCAGGCGCCUUCCCAAACCUAUACAUCUUUCUCAUUUUCAAGCCAGUCUGAUGGCCAAUCCCCUUGAUUCACCCUUGGAAACAAAUACUAGCCAAGGGAGUCUGUUGCUGGCAUUGACAAGGAUCUGAUGUAGGUCAGUAUUCUAAUUCCCACUCCACAGAGGAGAAAGAGCAGAGGAAUCAGACUGGAGUCCAGCUGUGGUCGAUGAAUCAUCCGGAACACAGCAAGCAGCUAUUUCUGAACUAAAUAGCAUCAGAUCUCUCUCCUCACCUUGAGUCCAGUGUCCUGGUCUCCAGAGCACUUCCUCUGGGAUGAAGCCAGCGAGGGGCAGAAAGCCUUGAGCAGAAUGGAGUUGACAAGCUUGGCUUUGUCACUGCUGUUCCCAUGCAGGUACAAAGGGAUAGUCUGGGAAGCAGUUGAAGCACACAAUUCUAGGAAACUCCAGAAUUCUAGGUUCUAUGAACAUGCCCCUUGCUUGCUUGCUUCCUUCCUCCCUCUUUUCCUCCCUCCCUUUGAAGCUUCAAGUCUUGAGCACUUGCUUUGUAAGCUGUGUAUGGUGCUUGGCAUCUGAAAUGCAACAAACCAGAGCCCAUCCCCAUUAAAGAACCUAGUGGGAGAGUCUGGAAAUAAUGACUCUGUGUUCUGAGUGCUGCCUUUCUGCCAGGUGCGCUUCUGUUUAGGUUACAUGUGUUACUUAUCCUAAUCUUUGCAACAAUGCUGGAGGGUACCCGAUACUAUUAUCUCCAUUGUAAGGAUAAAAUGUUGAGCAGGGAGAGAUUAAACAACUUGCCCAGAUGAAACCACUGAUUAAGCAGCGCCCCCUUUGCCUACUGAUCCACAGUGUUGGAAGGGAUCUGUGGAAGCUGGCCUGUUCAUUUCCCAAAGUGGAAGAGAAUGAUCAUUUCUUGAGUAACUUC